UGCUAUGCAUGAACUCAAAAGCGCGGGAACACUAUGUAGACUAUAUAAAGAUGUGUUAUUAUUUGAUAUAAGGAGUGAGAAUUGUGUCAGUCGCCGGUACAGAUUUACAAUAUGAAAACUGGUGUUGCUGCUCUCCUUUUGCUUGUUUGCCUUUCCGGUUUGAUGAUUGAUCAAACAGAAGGAAAGUCAUACAGAUGUAGUUGGGGAGGUUGUCCGUGGAAUUUAUCCUGUCACCUGUGUUGUAAACACUUGAGAAAGGACUGUGGUAGUGGACGGUGUACCGGGGGCUGGUUUAAGCACACAUGCGAAUGUACUGGUUGCAAUUAAGAUGAGAAUGGCAAUGCAAGAUGCUCAAAGAUAACUGAAUGUUUUACUGCCAAGCCAGAACACCUCAUCAGUUGUAAUAAAGUCGGAUCAUCUCACCUCAUCAGUUGUUAACUUCUGUUAUUCUUUCUUUGUUAUACAAAUAAAAAAGUUACAACUAAA